ensembl:lncRNA
AAAGCUUCCGGGGUACCCACGGGGCACCACGAGAAACUUGGCAGAGCUUGAAGAGAUUUUUGACUGAAAUCAGAGAUUUAAAAGAGUGGAUGCCCUUAAACACUUUUUCCCUGAAAGAAAAUGGUGAUUGCUGUUUAACCUGACUGGCACUGUCUGAAUGGGAAGGGGAAGGAAUGAUAUUUGGAGCUAUCAAUAAUGAUUCUGAUUAAAAUACUGCAUACCUCAAAGAAGCAAGGAAUGGAAGGAUAUCUUUGGAAAUUUGUUACCUGGCAACACACAAGGUUACACAGAAUAAAGAAAAGAUGAAGAAAUUAUCACA